rnacentral:rRNA from 1 species
UACGGAGGGGGCUAGCGUUGUUCGGAAUGACUGGGCGUAAAGCGCGCGUAGGCGGAUUGGCAAGUUGGGGGUGAAAUCCCGGGGCUCAACCUCGGAAUGGCCUUCAAGACUGCCGGUCUUGAGUUCGAGAGAGGUGAGUGGAAUUCCGAGUGUAGAGGUGAAAUUCGUAGAUAUUCGGAGGAACACCAGUGGCGAAGGCGGCUCACUGGCUCGACACUGACGCUGAGGUGCGAAAGCGUGGGGAGCAAACCG